AUACGUAGGGGGCGAGCGUUGUCCGGAAUGAUUGGGCGUAAAGGGCGCGUAGGCGGCCCGGUAAGUCUGGAGUGAAAGUCCUGUUUUUAAGAUGGGAAUUGCUUUGGAUACUGUCGGGCUUGAGUGCAGGAGAGGUAAGUGGAAUUCCCAGUGUAGCGGUGAAAUGCGUAGAGAUUGGGAGGAACACCAGUGGCGAAGGCGACUUACUGGACUGUAACUGACGCUGAGGCGCGAUAGUGUGGGGAGCAAACAGGAUUAGAUACCCUGGUAGUCCACACUGUAAACGAUGAAUACUAGGUGUAGGGGGUAUCGACUCCCUCUGUGCCGCAGUUAACACAAUAAGUAUUCCGCCUGGGGAGUACGGCCGCAAGGUUGAAACUUAAAGGAAUUGACGGGG
rnacentral:rRNA from 1 species